GAUCAUAUAGUGGUUAGAACAUUGCGUUGUGGCCGCAAUAACCCAGGUUCGAAUCCUGGUGUUGUGG
rnacentral:tRNA from 1 species